UACGAAGGGGGCUAGCGUUGCUCGGAGUCACUGGGCGUAAAGCGCACGUAGGCGGCCUCUUAAGUCGGUGGUGAAAUCCUGGAGCUCAACUCCAGAACUGCCUUCGAUACUGAGAGUCUCGAGUCCGGGAGAGGUGAGUGGAACUGCGAGUGUAGAGGUGAAAUUCGUAGAUAUUCGCAAGAACACCAGUGGCGAAGGCGGCCACCUGGACCAGCACUGACACUGAGGCACGAAAGCGUGGGGAGCAAACAGG
rnacentral:rRNA from 1 species